UACGGAGGGGGCGAGCGUUGUCCGAAGUUACUGGGCGUAAAGGGCGCGUAGGCGGGGCUGCAAGUCCGCUGUGAAAGCCCGGUGCUUAACACCGGAGGGUCGGUGGAGACUGUGGCUCUUGAAGGUGCUAGGGGGAGAUGGAAUUACCGGUGUAGCGGUGAAAUGCGUAGAGAUCGGGAAGAACACCAACGGCGAAAGCACUCUGCUGGGCCGAAACUGACACUGAGAGACGAAAGCUAGGGGAGCAAAUGGG
rnacentral:rRNA from 1 species